GCCAGCAUGGCAUAGUGGUUUGAGUGUUGGACUAGGACUCUGGAGACCAGGGUUUGAUUCCCAGCUCGGCCA